rnacentral:rRNA from 1 species
UGGGGAAUAUUGCACAAUGGGCGCAAGCCUGAUGCAGCCAUGCCGCGUGUGUGAAGAAGGCCUUCGGGUUGUAAAGCACUUUCAGCGAGGAGGAAGGUGGUGGACUUAAUACGUUCAUCAAUUGACGUUACUCGCAGAAGAAGCACCGGCUAACUCCGUGCCAGCAGCCGCGGUAAUACGGGAGGGUGCAAGCGUUAAUCGGAAUUACUGGGCGUAAAGCGCACGCAGGCGGUUUGUUAAGUCAGAUGUGAAAUCCCCGGGCUCAACCUGGGAACUGCAUUUGAAACUGGCAAGCUAGAGUCUCGUAGAGGGGGGUAGAAUUCCAGGUGUAGCGGUGAAAUGCGUAGAGAUCUGGAGGAAUACCGGUGGCGAAGGCGGCCCCCUGGACGAAGACUGACGCUCAGGUGCGAAAAGCGUGGGGAGCAAAACAGGAUUAGAUACCCCUGGUAAUCCACGCUGUAAACGAUGUCGAUUUGGAGGUUGUGCCCUUGAGGCGUGGCUUCCGGAGCUAACGCGUUAAAUCGACCGCCUGGGGAGUACGGCCGCAAGGUUAAAACUC